CCUCUGGCUAUAGGAAAUUGUUAGUGGCAGACGGGUGAGUAAUGCGUAGGAAUCUACCUAGUAGUACGGAAUAGCCAUUAGAAAUGGUGGGUAAUACUGUAUAAUCCCCGAGGGGGAAAGAUUUAUCGCUAUUAGAUGAGCCUACGUUAGAUUAGCUAGUUGGUGAGGUAAUGGCUUACCAAGGCUAUGAUCUAUAGCUGGUCUGAGAGGACGAUCAGCCACACUGGAACUGAGAUACGGUCCAGACUCCUACGGGAGGCAGCAGUGGGGAAUAUUGGACAAUGGGCGAAAGCCUGAUCCAGCUAUGCCGCGUGAGUGAAGAAGGCCUUCGGGUUGUAAAACUCUUUCAAUAGGGAAGAUAAUGACGGUACCUAUAA
rnacentral:rRNA from 1 species